rnacentral:lncRNA from 10 species
AAUAAACAUGCUUGAACAUAUUUUCCUGUGUACUAAGUCAUGCUUUUCUUUUCCCUUAGGAUGGAAUCACCAAAAAGUAUAAUCAUUAGGUCACUAGAUGUGCACGUUGGCAAUUUUCGAAAAUAUUGCCAGAGAGAUUGAAAUAAUUCACCACUGCCCCUCCUCCAGCUUCUCCUGGGCAUGCCACAUACACUGUGGGAAGGGGAAAGGCUGACCUAGAACACCUUCAAGUGGAUGCUACAGAACCCACCAGGGCAGAGCCUCAGCUCUCAGCCUCCCGGAAUGAACCAUGAACCCAAAGCAAAGAGCAGAACUCCUUUGACACCUCCAGCUUCACAGACAAAGAUGAAUCUCCUAAGGCAUUUCUGAAACAUGCAGUUCUGAAGUCUGGCCAGCCACACCAAAGAGCUUUUCGCAAGAAGGCACAGGCCAGACUCUGUCAUAAAGAGGAAGCCAUCAGGUUCUUGGAUAAUUGCUGAAUGGAACUAAGGGAAAUGAGAGGAGAGAAGCAUCUCAGAGCAUGUUUGGACUUGCUGCAUGCCUUGGACCCUGCUACACACUGAUAACUGAAUAUUGAGCCCUUGAGCUGAUAAACAAGGGUCUUUGACUCGAGAGUGUUUUGCCAUCCUGUUUGCAAGCUUUGUGUUUGUUUCCUUUCCUCCAAGAGUACAUUUUCUUACUCCUCAUAUGGCCCCAAACCACACAUUGAGAACUAUGGCCUAGAGUUUGUGAUUAAUGGAACCCUAUCUCCACUCCAACCUCCAC